UUUUUUCCUUUCAUGACACUUCGGUCACUUUUUGCAGUUAACGCCGUCAAAUGCGACUUGAAAAGUCUAAUUUACCCCUCCUCUAGCGCGUUCAAAAAAGCAAAAAAACUAGUUUGAUCGAACGGUACACAUCCUCUCCUAAUUCACUUCUCUCUUGAUCGCCCUUCCUUCUCACCGAGCCCUAGGCCUACCGUGCGGUGCAAGGCUCACAAUGGCGGUGCGAGGCAUGGAGGAGGACGCAGACGAUGCUAAUAUAGAUGGAAUGUUGAAUGGCAGCGCUCUACAGGGCCAAGUCGCGG
rnacentral:lncRNA from 1 species